GUGAAAGAGAAAGUGACAGCGAGCGAACAGCAAGAAAAGUUCAACAUUCAGCAGUCAGUAAACAAGACACCUGAGGAUCCACAAAUAAGACAACUCGACAGAGAGGCCAGUCAUACGUAUCUCGAGUGACCACCAAAGAAGAAGAGGCCUCAACGGGACUGGGGUUCUUGCACUCGAUUUGGGAUAUUUUUGCAGUGAAGACAACACCUGAUAAUAAGCCUUUCAGGCACUGUCGAAGACUCUUCCUGACCUCAACAGCAGGCGGUAGAACGUUCACUGUGAAAUGAUUUAGGCCAGCAAUCCACACUAAAAGGUCAGAGUUCAACCUGUUCAUCAGACAGCAGAAGAAAUCUCAACUCUACUCAGUUUGGAACUUCAGAAACUUCAGAAAAUGGAAUCAGGACAAAGAAAGAAAAGAAAAAGAAGAAACAGUAUAAAAUAUAGCCGCAAGCGGCGAUGGCGGGCCCGAGCACCUGCGGUGCGGAGACCUAUGAAAUUUCGGAAUGUAACAAAGCAACAUGUGCGUGUUGGUGGGCAUGUGCAUGAGCAACACACAUGCCCACCAAAUUUGGUCAAUUUUCCUGAAUGUAUGUGUCAACCACAACAAACAACACGCUAGGUGGCGCUAUAGAGUCCCUAAGCCACACCCUAGGCCAGAGCUCUAUCUGUGACUAUCGAUAGCAAUAACGCACAAGCCCACCAAAUUUGGUUCAUUUUCGUGAAUGAGUGUGUCAACCACAACAGACAAUGCGCUAGGUGGCGCUAUACAGUCUCUAAGACACCCUUGGCCAAAGCGCUGUCUCUGAAUAGCUAUAGCAAUAACACACAUGCCCACCAAAUUUGGUUCAUUUUCCUGAAUGUAUGCGUCAACAACAACACACAAUCUGCUAGGUGGCGCUAUAGUCCCUAAGCCACACCCUAGGCCAGAGCUCUGUUUUUGACUAGCGGCAGUAAUAACAAACAAGCUCACCAAAUUUGAUUCAUUUUCGUGAAUGUAUGUCAACCACAACAGGUAACACACUAGGUGGCGCUAUAGAGUCCCUAAGCCACACCCUCAGCCAGAGCACUGUCUCUGAAUAGCUAGAACAAAACACAU